rnacentral:lncRNA from 1 species
ACCAGUGAGGGCAUUAGUGGUGUGCUGGAACACCAGCGUGGGUAUUAGCGUGGGCUUGAGGCUUACCUCACUAUCCUUGCAGACAAAUCCUAAGCCUCCUAAGGCAGGGUUUACGGGGGUUAUACACAGAUCAGCCGCAUUUAGCCUCUGAAAACCGCUGUGCAGCUGCUAUCUCACACCAAAGACGCCUUUAUUUGGGCAUAUUAGAGACCCACAGAUCUUUAAUUUGUGCAGAGCUGACCAUUAGCGACCCAGGCAGCGGCGAGGCAAGGGAAGCAGCCCACCGCCAAUUAUCCCACUGGGAGGCGAGGAGAGCCGGCAGCACCCUCCCCCUCUAACGGCCGCCCCGAGGGGCCAGCCAACAGCCACCGCUCCCCCGCCGCCUUUUCGAGGGGCGGUGCGAGUCACGUGUGCCGGCUCGACCAAUAGGCAGCAGCACAGGGGUCUCGCGGGAGAGGCGGGCGGUAUUUAAGGGCCGGGGAAGGGCCGCUCGCCCUCUUUGCCUGCCAGACGCAGACGCGGUAAUGUGGGUGCCCGCCUGCCGCCAUCUUGGGAGGGGGAGGCUGGGGCGGGCGGGGUGGGGUCGCCUCGCGUCUUCCAUUCACAUAUAUCUUCGCUUCAAAUAUAUCUUCCCUUCACAUAUGCCCUCUCGGAGCGUGGUCGUGCUCCGGGGAGUCAACGCAGGGGGAUAGAGCGCCUUUCCCUCACAGAAACCCAGCGCGGAGCCGCCCUCUCCGCCCUGCAUCCUGUCUGCUGGGCCGUGGGGAGGAUGGCGACAGAAAGCGUCCCGAGGUGUCGGCGGGGCUUUGGGGAGCCCCUGGAGGCUGCUCUCUGCUCUGUGUGGGCAGGAGGCCGAGCGCCAUGGACCUCGAGUGCUGGGGUAUGGAGUCUCCCCUUUGAACACCCAUGGGAGAUACUUAGAAAUUUCACAUUUGAAAUGGUCUAG